rnacentral:rRNA from 1 species
GUCGAGCGAACAGACAAGGAGCUUGCUCCUUUGACGUUAGCGGCGGACGGGUGAGUAACACGUGGGUAACCUACCUAUAAGACUGGGAUAACUUCGGGAAACCGGAGCUAAUACCGGAUAAUAUUUCGAACCGCAUGGUUCGAUAGUGAAAGAUGGUUUUGCUAUCACUUAUAGAUGGACCCGCGCCGUAUUAGCUAGUUGGUAAGGUAACGGCUUACCAAGGCGACGAUACGUAGCCGACCUGAGAGGGUGAUCGGCCACACUGGAACUGAGACACGGUCCAGACUCCUACGGGAGGCAGCAGUAGGGAAUCUUCCGCAAUGGGCGAAAGCCUGACGGAGCAACGCCGCGUGAGUGAUGAAGGUCUUCGGAUCGUAAAACUCUGUUAUUAGGGAAGAACAUACGUGUAAGUAACUAUGCACGUCUUGACGGUACCUAAUCAGAAAGCCACGGCUAACUACGUGCCAGCAGCCGCGGUAAUACGUAGGUGGCAAGCGUUAUCCGGAAUUAUUGGGCGUAAAGCGCGCGUAGGCGGUUUUUUAAGUCUGAUGUGAAAGCCCACGGCUCAACCGUGGAGGGUCAUUGGAAACUGUAAAACUUGAGUGCAGAAGGAGGAAAGUGGAAUUCCAUGUGUAGCGGUGAAAUGCGCAGAGAUAUGGAGGAACACCAGUGGCGAAGGCGACUUUCUGGUCUGUAACUGACGCUGAUGUGCGAAAGCGUGGGGAUCAAACAGGAUUAGAUACCCUGGUAGUCCACGCCGUAACGAUGAGUGCUAACUGUUAGGGGGUUUCCGCCCCUUAGUGCUGCAGCUAACGCAUUAAGCACUCCGCCUGGGGAGUACGACCGCAAGGUUGAAACUCAAAGGAAUUGACGGGGACCCGCACAAGCGGUGGAGCAUGUGGUUUAAUUCGAAGCAACGCGAAGAACCUUACCAAAUCUUGACAUCCUUUGACAACUCUAGAGAUAGAGCCUUCCCCUUCGGGGGACAAAGUGACAGGUGGUGCAUGGUUGUCGUCAGCUCGUGUCGUGAGAUGUUGGGUUAAGUCCCGCAACGAGCGCAACCCUUAAGCUUAGUUGCCAUCAUUAAGUUGGGCACUCUAAGUUGACUGCCGGUGACAAACCGGAGGAAGGUGGGGAUGACGUCAAAUCAUCAUGCCCCUUAUGAUUUGGGCUACACACGUGCUACAAUGGACAAUACAAAGGGCAGCGAAACCGCGAGGUCAAGCAAAUCCCAUAAAGUUGUUCUCAGUUCGGAUUGUAGUCUGCAACUCGACUACAUGAAGCUGGAAUCGCUAGUAAUCGUAGAUCAGCAUGCUACGGUGAAUACGUUCCCGGGUCUUGUACACACCGCCCGUCACACCACGAGAGUUUGUAACACCCGAAGCCGGUGGAGUAACCAUUU